GAUGCACAGGUGUUUCAAAUCAGCAAUCAUACACUGAGCAAAGGUCCUCUCGAACGGUCUGAAAGUUCUCACUUAUUUUAGAGGUGCGGACUUAAAAGUGAUGGCUGCAGAAGAAAAUCUAAAAAAUACACGUAAUCAUCAUUUUAGUCCUGAUUUCAAAUAGUUUGACUCUGUUUGAGUCUACGGAUGUCAAAGGUGGUCGAAGAGCACAUUUCCCCGUGGUGGCUCAGGCGUCCGUCCUCACUUGGUCUAUCAUUUUGAUGCAGAAUGAACUCAUUUAAAGUGAAAAUAGCUUGAGAACAAAUCUGUAAAUGCUCUUAAACAUCGGAGAAGUGAUAAGCUCCGGCUAUUUCCUCAUUUGGCGCAAGCAAGUUGUGCGGCAUGAUAAGGCCUCAUUCUAGACGCUCACAUCCUUCCGCCAUGUUGCUGGUGGGGGCUCACAGUGAGGUGUUAACCUACCUGACGAGCCACAGACACCAACAGCGCACCCGCAAGGAUUACUGCACCUCCACUCACCUUCAACUUCACCUUCAUGGACACUCGCGGGACACGUCAUUAGGUGGAAAGUGACGUGAGAAAGACGAGUCCACAAACGACAGCACGUCACGCUUGGCCUUGAGGAUUUAUAACGCACAGGGAGAAUGAAGACUUUCUCUGUUACUAUUAUUUGGAAGAUUCAUUGAUACGCUGUGCGCACAAGGUCAACGUCUAAACUUGAGAAAUUUUGUUCG